AACGAACGCUGGCGGCAUGCCUAACACAUGCAAGUCGAACGAGACCUCCGGGUCUUGUGGCGCACGGGUGCGUAACGCGUGGGAACCUGCCCUUAGGUUCGGAAUAACUCCCCGAAAGGGGUGCUAAUACCGGAUAAUGUCUUCGGACCAAAGAUUUAUCGCCUUUGGAGGGGCCCGCGUUGGAUUAGCUGGUUGGUAGGGUAAAAGCCUACUAAGGCGACAAUCCAUAGCUGGUCUGAGAGACUGAUCAGCCACACUGGGACUGAGACGCGGCCCGGACUCCUACGGGAAGCAGCAGUGGGGAAUAUUGGACCAUGGGCGGAAGCCUGAUCCAGCAAUGCCGCGUGAGUGAUGAAGGCCUUAGAGUUGUAAAGCUCUUUUACCCGGGAUGAUAAUGACGGUACCGGGAGAAUAAGCUCCGGCUAACUACGUG
rnacentral:rRNA from 1 species